GGCAACGGAUAUCUCGGCUCUCGCAUCGAUGAAGAACGUAGCGAAAUGCGAUACUUGGUGUGAAUUGCAGAAUCCCGUGAACCAUCGAGUUUUUGAACGCAAGUUGCGCCCGAAGCCUCGGCUGAGGGCACGUCUGCCUGGGCGU
rnacentral:rRNA from 1 species